AGGCUGUAGAAGUUUCGAAAUUAUUGUAAAACACCACCCGGAUGUUAUAUUGUCUGUUUAGGCCAGAUUAGCAAGACACACGCGCGUAUUCUACGUUUAAAUCACACCCCGAAAUGCGGAGACGAUGUUUCUAUGGGAUCUACACGCGACAGAGAAAAACUGGAACAAUUAAUUAUUGCUCUCUUUUUUGAUUUCCUGUUUCUAAAGAAAGCAUUGGUAUCAAGGACGAGUUAGGUAAUGUGAACUAAAGAGCAAGCAGGUCGCUGUCGUUUAGACCUAAUCACAAUUCGUAGUUCAAGCAAAACUGCCUCUGACACCGUGUAUAUUCCGCAACUCCUCUCCGGCUGCCCCGGCAAGGACGCCCCCAGGAGUAUUUAUUCCUAGGGCUGGAAACAAAACAACUAACCCGGUCUGCUGCGUAAGAGAGCGCUCCAAGAUGGACUGCCGGAGAAAGGCAUUUUGACCCCGCUGGAAAUUACUCAUAUUGACAGACGCCCAGGGAAGGUAAAUUACCCAGCGCGCUGACGUUACGCAGAAGCGCGCCCUGUUGCGACUCCGCCGCGGCGCCCAGGGGCCAGAGGCUCCUAGUUCGCUCCCCCAGAUUCCAACAAAGCCUCGCUUUGCUUCGCUGGGCCUGGGAUUUCAGCGUGAAGGCGACGGAGAGAGCGGUAAAAAGGGAGUGUUCGGCCUUGCGGCGCACCCCAGCUGCCUGGAGUGCUCCACGUUGCCCCCACGUCCCAGACGCCGUGCCUCUACCCACCGGAUUGCCUUCGGGGCCCCUCGGUGCUGUGUCGACCGCGCGGCGCCGUGGGUCGUGCGAACAGGAACCGCCAGGCCCACCAGAUCUGCGCUCCUAGCAGCCGGGUAGCCUAGCGUGUCGAAGAUGCUCGGAGGAGGAGGAAGUGCAGAGAAAACAGAAGAGGAAGGAAAAGGGGUGGGGGGGGGGGCUGACAUACACAAGCACGCAAAACUGACUUUGCUGAUGGACUUUUUCAGUUUCACACGAAGCGACCUGUAGUAUCUGGAGAAGGUUUUUGAAGACGUUUAGGAGGGAGGGUGAGUUUUCUGCUGAGAAACUCAAUCUGCCAUACAGUAGCGGCCCCAUCUGGGAUCUGUCACUGCUGACAGCACCACAGGGCACAGACGUGAUCUUCUGCACAGCCUGCACUCCCCGAAAUACCCUCCUUAAUCAAAGGAUGUCUGCGCGCCGGAGCUCAGCUGACCGCGCCGGGAGCAGAACGGUCAGCAAAUCCACCCCCCCCCCGGCCCGCCCCCUCCCCACGGACACAACAACGGCCCCUCUCCUCUAACUAGCACAUUAAUUAAAAGCGGAAAGGAGACAGAGGCUGAUGUCAUUGCUCUCAGAAGAUCAUAAACGUAAAAGAGUCAUCCUGUGAGAAUCCCUGAAAAUGACUUUAAUGAAUAAUUUCAGAGACAGUUAUGGCUUUGGGUAAUUACUGAGCGAGAAUAUGAAAACCAGAUUUGCAAAGCAAAGGCGAUGGUCAGGCGGCCCGGCGGCGGCCACUUUCUCCCCUUAAAACCGCACCAGCUUUCUUCUCUGCCAAAUUCUAGUUACAGACUUGGGAUGCAUGUUCGUCUUUAAAAAUAAAAGCAACAAACACGCAUUUUUCUGUUCCUGCAUUUCUUCCUUAUCCUAAAGGCAAACGGGUCAGCUCAAGGCAACCACAACCCACUUUGGGUAGAAGCCAACCAGGCACUGGCCUCAGUGGCCAUGGGCUUCCAUCUUUUCAGGAAGGAGCUAUUAACCACCACUUUGGUUUAGAAUGAUUUUUUUGGUGGGGGGGCUCUUCCGUAGGUGACUUACAAUAAAAGUUGAAAACUCUGCCCCGAGUAAAUAAAAAACCUGUUUGUUUCAAAUCCUGUCAGCUGUUGGAGCAGCAAACAAGUGAACAGCGAAUGACCCCACUUCUUACAGAAAAAUCUGCAGGUCUCCCUAAGUCUAGUUCUUGUUUGCCAUGAUGAUUUCGUUCUACAAUAAGGAAUGAUGUUUUGAAACACUCCAUCUGGUCACUGGGAUGCAUCAGGCUGGGCUUGGUUGUUCAUGAUGAGUUGUGUGCAAGAAAGUAUUAAUAAAAAGGUAUUAUAGGCAAAAGUAA